AUGGCCUGGACUCCUCUGCUCCUCGCGCUCCUCUCUCACUGCACAGGGUCCCUCUCCCAGUUUGUGCUGACUCAGCCGCCCUCCCUCUCGGCAUCUCUGGGAGCCACAGCCACACUCACCUGCACCCUGAGCAGUGGCUUCAGUCUUGGUGGUUCCUGGAUAUCCUGGUACCAGCAGAAGCCAGGGAGCCCUCCCCGGUACCUCCUUGUAUAUAAAUCAGACUCAGAGAAGUAUUAUGGCUACGCGGACCCCAACCGUUUCUCUGGCUCCAAAGACACGUCGGCCAAUGCGAUGCUCCUGCUAAUCUCAGGGCUGCAGCCUGAGGAUGAGGCUGACUAUUACUGCACUACAGGUCAUGGCAGUGGGAGCAGCUACCGUUAG